rnacentral:rRNA from 1 species
AUUGAACGCUGGCGGCAGGCCUAACACAUGCAAGUCGAACGAGUGGCGGACGGGUGAGUAAUGUCUGGGAAACUGCCUGAUGGAGGGGGAUAACUACUGGAAACGGUAGCUAAUACCGCAUACCAUCGGAUGUGCCCAGAUGGGAUUAGCUAGUAGGUGGGGUAAAGGCUCACCUAGGCGCCGAUCCAUAGCUGGUCUGAGAGGAUGACCAGCAACACUGGAACUGAGACACGGUCGAGGCUCCUACGGGAGGCAGCAGUGGGGAAUCGUGCACAAUGGGCGCAAGACUGAUGCAGGCAUGCCGCGUGUAUGAAGAAGGCCUUCGGGUUGUAAAGUACUUUCAGCGGGGAGGCGUUACCAGCAGAAGAAGUACCGGCUAACUCCGUGCCAGCAGCCGCGGUAAUUC